UAUUAUGAUGAGCACCAUACCCAUAAAGCAUAGUUCACCUGAGAUCUUCGGAUCGCUGAACGACAACAGUACCAUCACCAUUUACUUCUGACA
rfam:Aspergillus versicolor CBS 583.65 unplaced genomic scaffold ASPVEscaffold_3, whole genome shotgun sequence.